rnacentral:rRNA from 1 species
GAUGAACGCUAGCGGCAGGCUUAAUACAUGCAAGUCGAGGGGCAGCAUGAUUGUAGCAAUACAAUUGAUGGCGACCGGCAAACGGGUGCGGAACACGUACACAACCUUCCAAUAAGUGGGGAAUAGCCCAGAGAAAUUUGGAUUAAUACCCCGUAACAUAACGAUGUGGCAUCACAUUGUUAUUAUAGAUUUUUCGCUUAUUGAUGGGUGUGCGGCUGAUUAGAUAGUUGGCGGGGUAACGGCCCACCAAGUCUACGAUCAGUAGCUGAUGUGAGAGCAUGAUCAGCCACACGGGCCCUGAGACACGGGCCCGACUCCUACGGGAGGCAGCAGUAAGGAAUAUUGGACAAUGGACGCAAGUUUGAUCCAGCCAUGCCGCGUGAAGGAUUAAGGUCCCCUGGAUUGUAAACUUCUUUUAUAGGGGACGAAAAAAGGCUUUUCUAAGUCGUCUGACGGUACCUUAUGAAUAAGCACCGGCUAACUCCGUGCCAGCAGCCGCAGUAACAC